AUUAAUAGCCUAGUGUAGCGUUAAAUUUCUUAAUAAUAAAAUCACGAUACCAAGAAUUCGUAUUGGCUCUGCAUAUAUAUACCCCUGUGCAGCGGAACGCCGCUGCCAUUUUGCACCAGGACGCUUAAAUAAGAUUUCAGAUCGGUAGUUCAGGCUCCACUGGCUGUACGUCAAUUAAAUUGGUAUUUCGCAACGCUCAUUUCUAUCGGCGCCUAAUUUAUUUAGACAUUUCAGAAUGAGCGGCAUGAGAAAACGGACAACUACGUUGACGUCUACUGAGUGCAAAGAAAUACAUGACCAGUGGAAGUGCAAAUCGGCUGAAG
rnacentral:lncRNA from 1 species